CUGAAAGGGUAUAAAAAGGUCGUGAAUUUGGUGUUAAGCUAACAGUUCAGUGAAUUAAGUUCUAGGUGUAUAGUUCCUUAGACUGAAGACCGAGAAAAAUAGAAGAAUGAAGGGUUAUAUUUUUGGAGUCCUUUUCUUGUUAUGUUUGGUAGUGGUUUUACCAGAGAGCGGCGAGGCAUACUCGGCGGGAACUGGGAGAUUUGGCGACGAAAUUAAGGUGUGGUAUAGAACUUUUUAUAUAUAGUACUUAUUCUUUUACACUAUAGUGACCCAACUUUUGCCUGAAACUGUCGCAUGCAACCUGCUUAUAACUUGAGUUGUACUGUGUAAGUCAAGCAUACAACUCACCUACGACAAUGAAAUUCAAUGUGGCUUUCACACAAUCACAAUUUAUUGUGAAAUAUAAAAAAAAUUUACAUGUGAAAAAGAGAUAAAGAGGUGUUAUCCUUAUAUAAAUUAUCUACAAAAAUGUUUGUGCAUGACUUGAUUCUCUGGUUGUGAUUUGGUUCUGCAUGCAUGCAUGCAGUAACACUGGGGCUAACACUGGACCUCUACAGGCAGAACAUUUUAGAACUGAUAGAGCUAUCUAGUAUAAAUAAAGCUACAGUUCAGUUAUUUUGCGAAAUCAGUUCGACUAUUCCGUCAUCAGACAUGAGUCACAAGGUGGCUACCAGAGGUGCCCUUCGACUCGACCAAGUUGAGUCCUUCGUGAUUCGGAUUAUUAAUUAACUUUGAAGCUGCAAGUAAGGAUGACCAUGACUCAACUAUAUAAUACCAUAGUUAGGGGGGGGGGGCUCACCCUCCAUGGUAAAAAAUUCAAGCCGGUUUGGGGGACUGCAUGACCUCCCAAUAUCUUUGCAGAUUGCAUAUUCAUAACCUGAAAAGUUCUUUGCAACUGUAGUGAAAUGAUGCGGUAAUGAUGUUAGUAAUCUGUACUUAUUAUAAAAUGUGUCUAAAAUACAAGGGAAAUGGCAAUAUAAUUUUUUAUUUUCUCAUUUGCCAGAACUUUUGAAACUAUAUAUUAACUUCUUUUACCGAUUUUUCAUAUCUUGCUUAGUUCUUGAAAUAUUUUCACUUGAAGUAAUGAUAUAUCAGCCAUCUUGGAUAGAUUUUUGAUCUCAUUAACGGUAGUUUUGGUGACGUCACAACAGGGAUUAACCAUCUAAAAGUAUUCGUUGCUGACCAAAUAUUGAUUGGUGGAUAUUUUAAAAGCAAAACCUUUAGUGCAUGACCUUGGUAUUUCGCUGGCAGACAGAGUAUAGUUUUGAGUGCAAAAUGAUUAGUAGUUGCCUAUAUAAAAAUAUUACGUGACAUGCAUAUCUACAAAAAUUGAAGAUGGCGGACAUUUCAUUCCUUUCGAUCAAAAUAUUUGUAGAAGUAAGCGAGAUAUGAAAAAACGGUGAAAGAGUAUUAUAGAUAGCCUUAAAAGUUCUUUCAAAUGAGAAAAUAAAAAAUAUAUUGCCAUUUCCCUUUAAAAAUAGAAAUACUCGAUCAAAGGCCGCGGAACGGUCCACUUUUUUAAAAACACCAAAAUGUGCCUUUUUUUCAGGCGAACGUGCCCUUUUUGAGUCAUGAAAUGUGCCUUAUGGUAUACUACAAAUCCUAAAUACAAGAUCUCAAUAGACAUCUAUACAGCUAAAUGUUGCUUUGGAGUUCUAAUUAUGCAAGAUAUAGCUCAGGUAAAUCUUGUAUUCGACGAUCCCCCCCCCCCAACACACUCGUUUGAGGUAGGCUACGCACUUGCAGCGAAAUUUAGGUGUCCAAUGAACACAGCUAACAACACUUUAUUUGUCACUAUUUCUUAGUUAAAAAGAAUGUUCAACAACCAGUUCCAUUCUCGCGGACAUGCAGGAAUGAGAGGAAAGCCGUUCAAAUAUCAAUAUCAAGUUUUGGAAGAGAAUGAAAAUGAAGUGGUUUAACGAGAGUCUUAUGAAGCGCACAGAAUUGUAAUAUAGCCGGAAUUAAAAAUUUAUAGGAAAUAUCAUUAUGCAAAAAUGUUAAAAAUGAUAUAGCGUAGUUAUAAUUAUGAAUAAAAAUACACAACAAUUAC